UACGAGAGAGUAGAAUAUUAUCUCAUCGUUACGGCACGGGGAAUUAGACGGUGAAAUAUAUUGGUCAGCAUUGAAUAGAGGAGAGUAGAAUUUUAGCUCAUCUUUACGGCACGGGGAAUUAGACGGUGAAAUAUAUUGGUCAGCAUUGAAUAGAGGAGAGUAGAAUUUUAGCUCAUCUUUACGGCACGGGGAAUUAGACGGUGAAAUAUAUUGGUCGGCAUUGAAUAGAGGAGAGUAGAAUUUUAGCUCAUCUUUACGGCACGGGGAAUUAGACGGUGAAUUAUAUUGGUCGGCAUUGAAUAGAGGAGAGUAGAAUUUUAGCUCAUCUUUACGGCACGGGGAAUUAGACGGUGAAAUAUAUUGGUCGGCAUUGAGUAGAGGAGAGUAGAAUUUUAGCUCAUCUUUACGACACGGGGAAUUAGACGGUGAAAUAUAUUGGUCGGCAUUGAGUAGAGGAGAGUAGAAUUUUAGCUCAUCUUUACGGCACGGGGAAUUAGACGUUGAAAUAUAUAGGUCAGCAGUGGCUAGCUAGAGGGAUUUCAUUGACGGUCUACUGUUGAAACGUCUGUGUUGAUGCAAGAUUCAGUGAGGCAAGAUAUGGAAGUUGUUAGGAUAUUAGUGUGAGAUCUGUUGAAAUGUCUGUUGAUGUAAGAUUCGGUUAGGCAAGAUAUUGAGGUUGUUAAGAUAGUGUGAGAUUCUGUUUGUGUGUUGAUGCAAGAUUCGGUUAGGCAAGAUAUGGAAGUUGUUAAGAUAUUAGUGUGAGAUCUGUUGAAAUGUCUGUUGAUGCAAGGUUCGGUUAGGCAAGAUAUUGAGGUUGUUAAGAUAGUGUGAGAUUCUGUUUGUGUGUUGAUGCAAGAUUCGGUUAGGCAAGAUAUAGAGGUUGUUAAGAUAGUGUGAGAUUCUGUUUGUGUGUUGAUGCAAGAUUCUGUUAGGCAAGAUAUGGAGGUUGUUAAGAUAGUGUGAGAUUCUGUUUGUGUGUUGAUGCAAGAUUCAGUGAGGCAAGAUAUGGAGGUUGUUAAGAUAGUGUGAGAUUCUGUUUGUGUGUUGAUGCAAGAUUCAGUGAGGCAAGAUAUGGAAGUUGUUAAGAUAUUAGUGUGAGAUUCUGUUUAUGUGUUGAUGCAAGAUUCAGUUAGGCAAGAUAUUGAGGUUGUUAAGAUAUUAGUGUGAUCUAUAAUGCAAAGCUAAAAUAUAAUAGAGUUUUAAGUUAUAUUAGCAAGUUGGACUGGAAGAUUAUAAGUCAUUUUGAUAUUAUUAUUAACUAAGGCAAGAUAGACAUAGAGGUUGAUUAGAUAUUAGUGUGAUCUAUAAUGCAAAGCUAAAAUAUAAUACAGUUUUGAGCUAUAUAAAUAAGUUGGACUGGAAGAUUAUAAGUCAUUUAGAUAUUAUUAUUAACUAAGAAAAGAUAGACAGAGGUUGAUUAGAUAUUAG